CCAAAGGCUCUUUUAAGAGCCACCUUCGUUUUCACAGAAUUGCUGU
rfam:Sarcophilus harrisii ctg7180002454287, whole genome shotgun sequence.